UGCAGCUUACCAUGCAGUCGAAGCGGUACAGAGAGUAGCUAGCUACUUUGCUGACGAGCGGCGGACGGGUGAGUAAUGCUUGGGAACAUGCCUUUAGGUGGGGGACAACAGUUGGAAACGACUGCUAAUACCGCAUAAUGUCUACGGACCAAAGGGGGCUUCGGCUCUCGCCUAAAGAUUGGCCCAAGUGGGAUUAGCUAGUUGGUGAGGUAAUGGCUCACCAAGGCAACGAUCCCUAGCUGGUUUGAAGAAGAUGAUCCGCCACAAAUGGGAACCUUAGAAACGCUGCAGAGACUUCUAUCGGGAGCGAGCACAUGUGGGAAUAUUGCGACAAUGGGGCGCGCAGCGCUUGAGUCACGCCCCUCCCGCGGGUGUGUGGGAAGAAAGCCCCUCUCGGUGUGUGAAAGCACUUUUCUGUGCCCGAAGGAAAGGGUAGAUAAUUAAAUAACCUGGCUAAGCUGGGGAGGGUUCUGGCAGAAAAAAAAAAACGGGCUUAUAUCCCUGGCGCACCAACCGCGGGGAAUAACGAAGGGGGGGGGACGGUAAACCGAAUUUAUUGGGGCGGAAAAACGUACACCCCGCGCGGUUUUUUAACGAAAAGUGAAAAACCCCCCGCUCCACCUGGGGAACUGGCAUUUUUUCACUGGGGAACUAAAAUGUGGUAGAAGGGGGGUGAAAUUUUUCGUGGUAGCGGGGGAAUGGCGUAUAAAACCUAAAAGAAUAACGGAUGCGGGAAGGCAGGCCACCGAGAUCAACACUGACGCUCAUGUACGAAAAGCGAUGGGGAAGCAAACAAGAAUUAAAAAACCUGGUAGUCCACGCCGUAAAACGAUGUCUAACAAAAAAGCUCGCAUCCUCCGCAGUUGUUGUGUUCAAAAGCUAACACAUUAAGUAAAACCGCCUUGGGGAGUACGGCCGCAAGGGUGUAAAACUCAAAUGACACUGACGGGGGGCCCGCACAAGCGGUGGAGCAUGUGGUUUUAAUUCGAUGCAACGCGAAGAACCUUACCUACACUUGACAUACAGAGAACUUACUAGAGAUAGUUUGGUGCCUUCGGGAGCUCUGAUACAGGUGCUGCAUGGCUGUCGUCAGCUCGUGUUGUGAGAUGUUGGGUUAAGUCCCGCAACGAGCGCAACCCCUAUCCUUAGUUGCUAGCAGGUAAUGCUGAGAACUCUAAGGAGACUGCCGGUGAUAAACCGGAGGAAGGUGGGGACGACGUCAAGUCAUCAUGGCCCUUACGUGUAGGGCUACACACGUGCUACAAUGGCGCAUACAGAGUGCUGCGAACUCGCGAGAGUAAGCGAAUCACUUAAAGUGCGUCGUAGUCCGGAUUGGAGUCUGCAACUCGACUCCAUGAAGUCGGAAUCGCUAGUAAUCGCGUAUCAGAAUGACGCGGUGAAUACGUUCCCGGGCCUUGUACACACCGCCCGUCACACCAUGGGAGUGGGUUGCUCCAGAAGUAGAUAGUCUAACCUUAGGGAGGACGUUACCACGGAUGGUGCG
rnacentral:rRNA from 1 species